rnacentral:rRNA from 1 species
UAUAUUUACUCCAGAGGUUCCAGAAGAGUUGAAACGGUUGUUUACAUGUCAAGCUGAUGAGGAUGCUAAAUAUUUCAGAGAGCAUAUACGAUAUUUCAACUCGCACUUCUCAUUCACAAGUUUAGGAGUCACCCUUGAUCGCCGAGUCAGCAAUGCGGCAGGAACUGGAGUAUAUACUUUUCGUGCGUGUGGCGGGUUGUACCACGCUCUUGAUGAUCUGGUGCCGGCUGAUAAUGGCCCUCGACAUUUCCAACUCUAUAUUUAUGAUACAGAUGAAAACUUGGUUCACAGGGCUAAGAGAUCUCCAGACCUUAAGAUAGAUCUCAUACGGAAGAUUCUGCGAAUACUAGAGCCUAACCCUUAUGCGCAAGUUUUCAAGAGCCUUGGGUCUGUUCCAAAUCUAGAUGAGUAUAGGAUCUCACUAAACGGAUAUCAAGCUGGAUCAACGAAGGUACAAUGCCCCAACGGCUUCUCAGGUGGCAGCGAUAUGGGUUGAAGGGAGUGACCCACAAAAUUGCUUUGACAGGAGUGUUGUCG